AGUGAACGCUGGCGGUAGGCCUAACACAUGCAAGUCGAACGGCAGCACAGUAAGAGCUUGCCCUUACGGGUGGCGAGUGGCGGACGGGUGAGGAAUGCAUCGGAAUCUACUUUUUCGUGGGGGAUAACGUAGGGAAACUUACGCUAAUACCGCAUACGACCUACGGGUGAAAGCAGGGGAUCUUCGGACCUUGCGCGAUUGAAUGAGCCGAUGUCGGAUUAGCUAGUUGGCGGGGUAAAGGCCCACCAAGGCGACGAUCCGUAGCUGGUCUGAGAGGAUGAUCAGCCACACUGGAACUGAGACACGGUCCAGACUCCUACGGGAGGCAGCAGUGGGGAAUAUUGGACAAUGGGCGCAAGCCUGAUCCAGCCAUACCGCGUGGGUGAAGAAGGCCUUCGGGUUGUAAAGCCCUUUUGUUGGGAAAGAAAAGCAGCAGGUUAAUACCCCGCUGUUCUGACGGUACCCAAAGAAUAAGCACCGGCUAACUUCGU
rnacentral:rRNA from 1 species